ACGGAAGGCAGCAGUGGGGAAUAUUGCACAAUGGGGGAAACCCUGAUGCAGCGACGCCGCGUGAGUGAAGAAGUAUUUCGGUAUGUAAAGCUCUAUCAGCAGGGAAGAAAAUGACGGUACCUGACUAAGAAGCCCCGGCUAACUACGUGCCAGCAGCCGCGGUAAUACGUAGGGGGCAAGUGUUAUCCGGAUUUACUGGGUGUAAAGGGAGCGUAGACGGUAUGGCAAGUCUGAAGUGAAAUGCCAGGGCUUAACCCUGGAACUGCUUUGGAAACUGUCGUACUAGAGUGCAGGAGAGGUAAGUGGAAUUCCUAGUGUAGCGGUGAAAUGCGUAGAUAUUAGGAGGAACACCAGUGGCGAAGGCGGCUUACUGGACGAUUACUGACGCUGAGGCUCGAAAGCGUGGGGAGCAAACAGGAUUAGAUACCCUGGUA
rnacentral:rRNA from 1 species